rnacentral:lncRNA from 1 species
CACAGGGGCAGCCCCUCAUUGAUGUCAGCUCCGGACUGUCGUGCUCACAAGCUACUCAGAAAUAGGAAGGAGAUGGGAGGAUACUGGAAGGCCACUGUCACCGCGGUUAUUGACUGUGCAGUCGGGAGGAAGGAAGCCGCAGGGGGUGAGUCUCAUGCCCAGAGACGCCGUCCUGGGAACCUGCCGUCCGCUCUCCCACAAUGCAGAGGGACGGUUGGGCCAAGGUCACCGCUGGCAGGACUGUCUUGCCCGGUCUCCAGUCACGCCCUCGGGAAGAAGCAGUCUCUCCCCGACCCCCACGCUCUUCUCGGAGAGAGGAGGCCUGAGGCACGAGGAGAGGGCAGCUCCACCGGGUGUUUGGUCCCGAGGUCACAGAAGUGGCCCCCAGGAACCCCCCCCCCCGGACCCUGUGCACACCCUCCUCCCCACCCUCGGCCAGGUGUCGUGGAUGUGCUCGAAAUCCCCACCAGUGGAGGUUUGCUAACUGCAUCGCGCUGGGUCCUGCCUGGUCCCCUCUGAAACUCCGCUCCGACUCAGACGCACAGUCUCCGUGGCCCUCGUCACCUCUGAGGGCAGCGCCGGGAGAAUGAGGCCCCUCCCCAGACGUCCUCAGAGGGUCAGGUAACUAAUACCACAGCUCGGGUCCCUCACCCUCCAAGUUGACAAACACCUCGCACGCAGAAGUCUAUUUUGGUGUUAUUGGUUUUGUCCCUACGACCUCUUACGCGCGUCAUUUGCUGAACAUGGAAGGCAGCGGAACUGGGGUUACUGAUCGUUCUGGGUCUCGGGCCGUUUGGGCCUCUGUCCUCAUGUCCCUCGAGUAGACAGGGUGGCAUCUCUCUGUCUUUCUGUCCCCGGCUGCUAACAGAGGGCCUGUGAACCAGUGGUUAGUAGUUAAUAUUCCUCGAACGUUGACUGGAGCUGUUCUUACUGCGAGCUGAGGUCUGGACUUUGCAGGCCUCUGAGGGAAAGUCACACUCCGUCACGGCGUCCUGACCCGCGGGACUUGGAUUUGAGUGCGUAUGCUCCUCGUCAUGACGCUGAACGGACUGCAGGUGAUCAGGGCCUGGUUUUAUUUGUCCUGAGACG